rnacentral:tRNA from 1 species
GGUGUUGUGGCUCAGUGGUGGAGUGCUUGCCUAGCAUGUGUGAGGCACUGGGUUUGAUUCUCAGCACCACCU